rnacentral:rRNA from 1 species
GACAGAGGGGGCAAGCGUUGCUCGGAAUUACUGGGCGUAAAGGGCGCGUAGGCGGCGACCCAAGUCAGAUGUGAAAGUCCUGGGCUUAACCUGGGGACUGCAUUUGAUACUGGGUUGCUUGAAUUCGGGAGAGGAUAGCGGAAUUCCCAGUGUAGAGGUGAAAUUCGUAGAUAUUGGGAAGAACACCGGUGGCGAAGGCGGCUAUCUGGACCGACAUUGACGCUGAGGCGCGAAAGCGUGGGGAGCAAACAGG